rnacentral:lncRNA from 1 species
CAGCUUUAUCUGAUUGCGUGGCAGGAAGCUGUGUGGUCAUGGAUGGGGCCGUUCUGGCCUGGGUCUUGAAAAGCUUUGCAAGACGCAAUUCAAUUAUUUUCAUGUUCUCCUGUGCUGCUAUCUCAAAUUCAACGAUGGGCCUAUUGAGGUAACGUUUCUAUAACAAGGCAUAUUCAGUACAUUAGCGAUAAUGAAAUAAAAUUGAAUGCAAUAGAGGUAACGUUUCUAUAACAAGGCAAUUCAAUUAUUUUCAUUUCCUCCUGUGCUGCUAUCUCAAAUUCAACGAUGGGCCUAUUGAGGUAACGUUUCUAUAACAAGGCAUAUUCAGUACAUUAACGAUAAUGAAGUAAAAUUGAAUGCAAUAGAGCUGCACUGAUAAGUAGCCAGCUUGUGACACAUGGUAAAAGCAUGAAUCAAAUAUCAUAUGAUGAUGAGUUUGUAGGUAUCAUUUCAAUCCAGUAAAACAGAUAAUUCAAGUUUCAAGUGGAGCCAUACAAUACAAGACAAUCCAAUCUCCAAUUUACAAACAACACAAGUCACACAAGCAUAUCAAUGGAAUUGACUCUAUUUUUAAACUUUAACUAAUGACCUAAAGGUAUCCCAAUAUCAAACUGUGUCCAAUGCACCAGAACGAAAAACCAGUGAAACAUCAAGGUACAUGAUC